GAGUUUGAUCUUGGCUCAGGACGAACGCUGGCGGCGUGCCUAACACAUGCAAAAUUGAGCGGAGAUAUGGAGAGCUUGCUCUUUAUAUUUUAGCAGCGAACGGGUGAGUAACACGUAGAUAAUUUGUCCUAUAUUGGGGGGUAGGCCGAUGAAAAUUGGAUUAAUACCGCAUACAGCUAUUUAACCGCAUGGGGAAUAGUGAAAAGGGGAAACUUGAUAUAGGAGGAGUCUGCGGCACAUUAGCU
rnacentral:rRNA from 1 species